ensembl:snRNA U2 U2 spliceosomal RNA
AUCGCUUCCCGGCCUUUUGGCUAGAAUCAAGUGCAGUAUUUGUUCUUAUUAGCAGAUUUUUAGAAAGGGGCUUGCUUCUUUUGCUCCAUGCAUUGUGGGGCAGUGGUAGCCUAUUGGGAAACAGACCCUUGAUCAGAAGGUUGUUGGUUCAAAUCCUGA